CAAAACAGAGAAAGAAUUGAUAAGCAUAUUUCGCAGUUUUCUUGAUGGCGGAGUGCAUCGCCCACAUAAUGCAGUGAGCAUUUGUCGUGCAGAAAGCAAUGAACAACAGCAGCACCACACACAUCUUUUCCGAUAAGAAUGAGCCACGGCUAACCUGGCCAUGAAGGGUUUCCACAAGUCGAACAUUUCGGUUUUGGAGAAAAAAGAUCUAUGAAGACGCAGCAGCGGUAGACGCGAAUAUUUGCUGAGAGGCAUCAAAAAAUCAAUAUAACCGAUUUUUAGAUGCUCGAGAAUACUAUUCGCAGACUGAGUGCAGUCGUAAAAUUAUGCGUUAACAUGGUGAUAUAACGAGAAAAUACCGGAACAAUAACAGUGCCGUAUUACGUGAGUGUUUCGAUGAUGUUGUGAAGUGUCUUGAGGAGCAAAAUCGACGCCACUCCA